rnacentral:rRNA from 1 species
GAUGAACGCUAGCGGCAGGCUUAAUACAUGCAAGUCGAGGGGCAUCAAGGUACACGAAAGUGUAUUGUUGGCGACCGGCGGACGGGUGAGUAAUAGGUAGGUAACCUACCUCAUACUGAGGCAUAGCUGGGAGAAAUUCCAGGUAAUUCCUCAUGAGGUUAUAUGACACAUGUGAUAUAAUCAAAGGUAUCGCAAGGUACUGGUAUGAGAUGGGCUUACUGACCAUUAGCUAGUUGGUGAGAUAAGAGCUCACCAAGGCGAAGAUGGUUAGGGGUUUUGAGAGAGAGAUCCCCCACAUUGGAACUGAGAUACGGUCCAGACUCCUACGGGAGGCAGCAGUAGGGAAUAUUGGCAAUGGGCGAAGCCUGACCCAGCCAUGCCGCGUGAAGGAAGAAGGUUCUAUGGAUUGUAAACUUCUUUACUAUGCGACUAACUAGAUUUAACGAGAUAAUUCUAUAGAAUGUAGCAUAGCAAAAGCACC